UCAGACGAUGCGUCAUGCAUAUCAAUAAGCGGAGGAAAAGAAACUAACAAGGAUUCCCUUAGUAACGGCGAGUGAAGCGGGAAGAGCUCAAAUUUGAAAUCUUCAAGGUUCUGACCUUGACGAAUUGUAGUUUAAAGAAGUGUUUUCGGUUAGAGGAGUUUGGUAAAAGUUCUUUGGAAUAGGACAUCAUAGAGGGUGAGAAUCCCGUAUUUGACCAUUAUUUUCAGCUGUGUGAUACACUUUCAAAGAGUCGGAUUGUUUGGGAAUGCAGUCCAAAAUGGGUGGUAAAUUUCAUCUAAAGCUAAAUACUGGCGAGAGACCGAUAGCGAACAAGUACCGUGAGGGAAAGAUGAAAAGAACUUUGAAAAGAGAGUUAAACAGUACGUGAAAUUGUCAAAGAGGGAAGCGUUUGACACCAGUGUUGUUUUCUCGAAAAUCAAUUAAAAAGAGUUGGAUUUUGUGUUGUAUUGACCUUAACAGCUUGCUUCACUCUUUUCCUGCUUUUUUUAAUGCACUUUUCGUUUAACAAGUCAACAUCAGUUUCUUUUGUUGUAAAAGGGUCAUUGGAAGGUGGCUUUCUCUUCGGAGAAAGUGUUUAUAGCCUUUGAUCUCUGCAAUUGGAGAGACUGAGGUCUGCAGCGUAGAUCCUUCGGGGUUAGAUACAUUUGUGCUAAGCUACAGCUUUUCAUAGACAACUUGUUGACUAUGUUUAGUCUUGUAACUUACCCGCUUAUGCUAUUUUACCUACGCUUAGGAUGUUGAUAUGCAUGACUGAUAU
rnacentral:rRNA from 1 species